AAUGGGCGAAAGCCUGAUCUAGCCAUGCCGCGUGUGUGAUGAAGGCCCUAGGGUCGUAAAGCACUUUCGCCAGGGAUGAUAAUGACAGUACCUGGUAAAGAAACCCCGGCUAACUCCGUGCCAGCAGCCGCGGUAAUACGGAGGGGGUUAGCGUUGUUCGGAAUUACUGGGCGUAAAGCGUACGUAGGCGGAUCAGAAAGUAGGGGGUGAAAUCCCGGGGCUCAACCCCGGAACUGCCUCCUAAACUCCUGGUCUUGAGUUCGAGAGAGGUGAGUGGAAUUCCGAGUGUAGAGGUGAAAUUCGUAGAUAUUCGGAGGAACACCAGUGGCGAAGGCGGCUCACUGGCUCGAUACUGACGCUGAGGUACGAAAGUGUGGGGAGCAAACAGGAUU
rnacentral:rRNA from 1 species